rnacentral:SRP_RNA from 1 species
CCAUACCAGCCGGGAAAGUAGCGGCGUCCUGUAACCUGAAAUCCGCUAUAGCAGGGGUCAAUUCCCCUUAUGAGGGAUGAAUUUUGUGCGGUCAGCUCCGCCUAUCUGCGUGUUGACAAACGGGUCUUGCGCAAUCAGUCCUACGUGAACCAUGUCAGGCGGGGAACCGAGCAGCAUUAAGCGUAUUGGCUGAUGUGCCGCGAGGGCGCCUGUUUCGAGCGUAGAUGACGGGAAGCGCGUAUGAGGUGAAUUUCGAUUUCGGGGUGUAUGG